rnacentral:tRNA from 1 species
GCCUGGGUAGCUCAGUUGAUUAAGCAUCUGACUCUUGCUUUCAGUUCAGGUCACAAUCACAAGUUUCGUGGGUUCAAGCCCCACUUCAGGCU